rnacentral:rRNA from 1 species
GGACCUACGGGGCGCAGCAGUGGGGAAUAUUGCACAAUGGGGGAAACCCUGAUGCAGCGACGCCGCGUGAGUGAAGAAGUAUCUCGGUACGUAAAGCUCUAUCAGCAGGGAAGAAAAAAAGUCUUUGGCUUUGGACGGUACCUGACCAAGAAGCCCCGGCUAACUACGUGCCUGCAGCCGCGGUAAUACGUAGGGGGCAAGCGUUAUCCGGAUUUACUGGGUGUAAAGGCAGCGUAGGCGGCUGUGUAAGCCAGAAGUGAAAGCCCGAGGCUCAACCACGGGACUGCUUUUGGAACUACAUGGCC